rnacentral:rRNA from 1 species
AGAGUUUGAUCAUGGCUCAGAAUGAACGUUGGCGGCGUGGAUUAGGCAUGCAAGUCGAGCGAGAAGGUUCCUUCGGGAACUGGAAAGCGGCGAACGGGGUAGUAAUGCGUAGGUGACGUGCCCUUGGGGCCGGAAUAGCCACGGGAAACUGUGGGUAAUGCCGGAUAACCUCCCGAUCUUUGAAGAGAUGUGAUUCCACCCAUGGAGCGGCCUGCGUGGUAUUAGCUAGUUGGUGAGGUAAUGGCUCACCAAGGCUCAGAUGCCUAGGGGGUGUGAGAGCAUGGCCCCCACCACUGGGACUGAGAUACUGCCCAGACACCUACGGGUGGCUGCAGUCGAGAAUCUUCGGCAAUGGACGAAAGUCUGACCGAGCGACGCCGCGUGCGGGAUGAAGGCCCUCGGGUUGUAAACCGCUGUCAGAGGGGAUGAAAUGCGCAUGGGUUCUCCCAUACGCUUGACAGAGCCUCAGAGGAAGCACGGGCAGUACGUGCCAGCAGCCGCGGGAAUAC